GAUGAACGCUGGCGGCGUGCUUAACACAUGCAAGUCGAACGGGAAAUAUUUCAUUGAGACUUUGGUGGAUUUGAUCUAUUUCUAGUGGCGGACGGGUGAGUAACGCGUGGGUAACCUGCCUUAUACAGGGGGAUAACAGUCAGAGAUGGCUGCUAAUACCGCAUAAGCGCACAGAGCUGCAUGGCUCAGUGUGAAAAACUCCGGUGGGAUAAGAUGGACCCGCGUUGGAUUAGCUUGUUGGUGGGGUAACGGCCCACCAAGGCGACGAUCCAUAGACGGCCUGAGAGGGUGAACGGCCAGAUUGGGAAUGAGACACGGCCCAGACUCCUACGGGAGGCAGCAGUGGGGAAUAUUGCACAAUGGGGGAAACCCUGAUGCAGCGACGCCGCGUGAAGGAAGAAGUAUCUCGGUAUGUAAACUUCUAUCAGCAGGGAAGAUAGUGACGGUACCUGACUAAGAAGCCCCGGCUAACUACGUGCCAGCCGCCGCAGUAA
rnacentral:rRNA from 1 species